AUGGACUGCUGCUGCCGCGCACGCUGCCCUGAUCUGGCACUCGUCUUCUUCGGCCGUCUCCUCAAGACGGGCCUCGAGGCAGACCAAGUCGUCUUCAACACCCUCCUCAAGGGCCUUUGCCACACAAAGUGGGCGGAUGAGGCUCUGGACGUGCUGCUUCAGAGGAUGCCUGAGCUGGGCUGCACUCCCGAUGUGGUGGCGUAUAACACCGUCGUCCAUGGCUUCUUUAGGGAAGGCCAAGUAGGCAAGCCGUGCGAUCUGUUCCAUGGAAUGGCACAGCAGGCCGUUAUGCCUAAUGUGGUGACAUAUAGCUCUGUUAUUGAUGCGCUGUGCAAGGCUAGAGCAAUGGACAAGGCAGAGGUUGAACUGCAACAUUUGGCAUUGUGCUGA
rnacentral:rRNA from 1 species